GGCUACGUAGCUCAGCUGGUUAGAGCACAGCACUCAUAAUGCUGGGGUCACAGGUUCGAUUCCCGUCGUA
rnacentral:tRNA from 1 species